rnacentral:lncRNA from 1 species
ACUCGGGCGCCGGCCGGCUGGACGCAGGGCCGAGCAGGUGGUUUGGGGCCUCGGGAAGGCCAAACCCCCGCCUCUGGGCCCCUGGCUGGGGAAGACACCAGCCAAGUUCAGAGCCCCAAGUCGGCCUCACUUCCACAACUCAGCGUCAGGGACACCGUGGGCGUUUCUGUUUCAAAACGCUUUUCUCCAGCAAAGAACGUAACCUCAAGCUGCUGUCAGGGUAGAGGAAUCCCUGCCCCCCGCCGCCACCCAGAUAGGUUGGGCCGUGAUUUUGGCUGUGCCUGGCAGUGACGAUGUAGCGCACCCAGGCUGGGGGGCGCUGGCAGCCAGGGUUCAAAUCCCGGCUCUGCCACCUAACGCUGGGACUCAGUUUCUCCAUCUGUAGAAUGGAACUAACAAUAGCUCCUAUGCUGUUGUAAGCACUAAACACAGAAGUUAAGCUUUGGGAGUUAGGAGGGUGUGACCUGGGAAAUGGAUGUCUGCCCUUUCAUAAGCAGAUUUUGUUUUGUUUUGUUUUGUUUUGUUUUGAGACAGGGUCUCACUCUGUCACCCAGGCUGGAGUGCAGUGGCAAGAUCACGGCUCUCUGCAGCCUCAACCUCCCAGGCUCAAGUGAUCCUCCCUCCUCAGCCUCCCAAGUAUCUGGGACCACAGAUGCACGCCACCACGCCUGGCUAGUUUUCUUUUGAAUUUCAGUUAAGACAAGGUAUCACUAUAUUGCCCUGGCUGGUCUCGAACUCCUGGGCUCAAGAGAUCCCCCCAUCUCGGCCUCCCAAAGUCCUGGGAUUACAGACAUGAGCCACUGCGCCUGGCCACAAGCAGAUUUUUAGAGUUGUCAUUGCCAUCGGAACAGCUGCCCAGACAGCAAGAAGAGCAAAAGCCUGUGUCUGGGGUCAAUGCCAGGGUUUGAGGCUUCCAAGCCUAGGUGACCCCACAACAGAUUCAACACAUACAAAAAGGAUCACAAGGACAUGUUAUAAACAUCUCGAUGCCAAAAUAUUCAGUGACAGGGAUGAAAUGGACACAUUCCUUGAAAGACACAAAUUACCAAAGCUUACUUAAGAACAAAUAGAUCGGCCGGGCGCGAUGGCUCGUGCUGUAAUCCCAGCACUUUGGGAGGCCGAGGCAGGCGGAUCACCUGAGGUCAGGAGUUUGAGACCAGGCUGGCCAACAUGGUGAAACCCCGUCUUUACUAAACAACAAAAAUUAGCUGGCCAUGGUGGCGGCCACUGUAAUCCCAGCUACUCAGGAGGCUGCGGCAGGAGAAUUGCUUGAACCCCGGAGGUGGAGGUUGCAGUGAGCUGAGAUCGUGCCAUUGUACUCCAGCCUGGACAACAGAGU